CCCUUAGAUGUCCUGGGCUGCACGCGCGCUACACUGAUGUGUCCAGUAAGCACCUAACCUCUUCCGAAAGGAACGGGUAACCUUUGCAAAGCACAUCGUGAUGGGGAUAGAUUAUUGCAAUUAUUAGUCUUGAACGAGGAAUUCCUAGUAAGCACAAGUCAUCAGCUUGUGUUGAUUACGUCCCUGCCCUUUGCACACACCGCCCGUCGCUCCUACCGAUUGAAUGUUCCGGUGAGCUCUUCGGACUGCGCGGUCUGCAGUUUCUGCGUUCCGUGCGGAAAGUUGCGCAAACCUUAACAUUUAGAGGAAGGAGAAGUCGUAACA
rnacentral:rRNA from 1 species